rnacentral:rRNA from 1 species
UAAGCGGAGGAAAAGAAACUAACAAGGAUUCCCCUAGUAACUGCGAGUGAAGCGGGAAAAGCUCAAAUUUAAAAUCUGGCAGUCUUUGAUUGUCCGAGUUGUAAACUAGAGAAGUGUUAUCCGNGCUGGACCGUGUAAAAGUCUCCUGGAAUGGAGCAUCAUAGAGGGUGAGAAUCCCGUCUUUGACAUGGACUACCAGUGCUUUGUGAUGCGCUCUCAAAGAGUCGAGUUGUUUGGGAAUGCAGCUCAAAAUGGGUGGUAAAUUCCAUCUAAAGCUAAAUAUUGGCGAGAGACCGAUAGCGAACAAGUACCGUGAGGGAAAGAUGAAAAGAACUUUGGAAAGAGAGUUAAACAGUACGUGAAAUUGCUGAAAGGGAAACGCUUGAAGUCAGUCGCGUCGGCCAGGAAUCAACCUUGCUUUUGCUGGGCGUACUUUCUGGUUGACGGGUCAGCAUCAAUUUUGACUGCUGGAAAAAGUUCAAGGGAAUGUGGCAUCUUCGGAUGUGUUAUAGCCCUUGUUCGCAUACAGCAGUUGGGAUUGAGGUACUCAGCACGCCGCAAGGCCGGGUUUCGACCACGUUCGUGCUUAGGAUGCUGGCAUAAUGGCUUUAAUCGACCCGUCUUGAAACACGGACCAAGGAGUCUAACAUGCCUGCGAGUGUUUGGGUGGAAAACCCAAGCGCGCAAUGAAAGUAAAAGUUGAGAUCCCUGUCAUGGGGAGCAUCGACGCCCGGACCAGAGCUUUUGUGACGGAUCUGCGGUAGAGCAUGUAUGUUGGGACCCGAAAGAUGGUGAACUAUGCCUGAAUAGGGUGAAGCCAGAGGAAACUCUGGUGGAGGCUCGUAGCGAUUCUGACGUGCAAAUCGAUCGUCAAAUUUGGGUAUAGGGGCGAAAGACUAAUCGAACCAUCUAGUA